CUUAAUUAAUGAUUUAGCCAAGGUUUUUUUCACUUUUACAAAAAUGUACAACCGAAAAAGCAUAAUUGUACAAGAAUAACAUUGCUAAAAUAAUGGAAAACCCUAAAAUACCCCUAACCUAGAGUAAACAUACAGCUCGUAUUCUACUAAAUCCUAAUAGUAGAAGCUCUAUUUUGGUCACUGAAAAUCUUCUUGUUUCCCCUUCGUCUCAGAUGUCAAUUUGAAGUUACCAUUCACGAUGAUACUCAUUUGGCAACAAUAACAAUUUCAGACAAAAUUGGAGAUGAACUGCUAUCUCUAGAAAUUUAUGAUAUACGUUGCACCAAGGUACUUAUUGGCAAGAGCUUACCAGCAUGAGAGGACAAUCAAAGUGUGACAUUAUGUAAAUACUACAAAAGUAAAUUUUCUUAUGUAAAUAACGUAGCCACAAACCAUUGGCAACCAUAUGUAUAAUAAUUAUGUAUAUACCUACAAACGAUUUUCAAUGUGCAAGUGUGCAUGCGUAUUUAGCUCAAAAAAAUCUUUUGAGGCAAGCACGGGCUUCUCUGCCUAGUACUUCAUAUACAAGGACUAAGGAGUAAUAAAGUUAAAUGAAGUAAUAUUGGGUAACCAAAGUUACUCGUUUCUAA